rnacentral:rRNA from 1 species
GACGAACCGUGCAAACGUUAUUCGGAAUCACUGGGCUUAAAGGGCGCGUAGGCGGGCAACCAAGUCCGAGGUGAAAUCCUCCAGCUUAACUGGAGAAGUGCCCCGGAUACUGGUGGCCUCGAGGAGGGUAGGGGCAUCUGGAACUAGCGGUGGAGCGGUGAAAUGCGUUGAUAUCGCUAGGAACUCCGGUGGCGAAGGCGAGGUGCUGGACCCUUUCUGACGCUGAGACGCGAAAGCGUGGGGAGCGAACAGG